CCUACGGGGGGCUGCAGUGGGGAAUCUUCCGCAAUGGACGAAAGUCUGACGGAGCAACGCCGCGUGUAUGAUGAAGGUUUUCGGAUUGUAAAGUACUGUCUUUGGGGAAGAACGGUGUACUUGAGAAUAUUGAGUACAAGUGACGGUACCCAAGGAGGAAGCCCCGGCUAACUACGUGCCAGCAGCCGCGGUAAUACGUAGGGGGCAAGCGUUGUCCGGAAUUAUUGGGCGUAAAGGGCGCGUAGGCGGAUAAUUAAGUCCGGUGUGAAAUAUCAGGGCUCAACCCUGAGAGUGCAUCGGAAACUGGUUAUCUUGAGGACAGGAGAGGAAAGUGGAAUUCCACGUGUAGCGGUGAAAUGCGUAGAUAUGUGGAGGAACACCAGUGGCGAAGGCGACUUUCUGGACUGUAACUGACGCUGAGGCGCGAAAGCGUGGGGAGCAAACAGGAUUAGAUACCCCAGUAGUC
rnacentral:rRNA from 1 species